AACCAAUCGGCUGAGAUGAGAAGGGAACCACCAGAGACCAAGGUUGAUUCUUCUGGGUCAAAGAGCAGAGGCUGUUUUAAAAGAAUCAAACACGCAGUUCCAAUGCAACGGUCCAGUUCGUUAUCAACGAACUGCAUAAUGGAGUUGGGAAGGAAGAAAAGAUAGCUCAGCUACCCCGCCUGGUGGCAGAGAAUUAGGACUACCACACAGCGACCCGGAGCCCGACGGCCGCCCCCUCCCCCGGCCACGCUCCGGCCCCGAGACCCACCAACCCCUUCGAGCCGGAGGAAGACCACCUGCCGCUGGCCCCUGGGGGCGGGGGAGACGCGUGGCGCAGCAGCAUGUCAGUCGGAUUAAAACCAACAAAUGUAACAGGAUUUUAUU